rnacentral:rRNA from 1 species
CCUACGGGAGGCUGCAGUGGGGAAUAUUGGGCAAUGGAGGAAACUCUGACCCAGCAACGCCGCGUGAAUGAUGAAGGUCUUCGGAUUGUAAAGUUCUUUUCUAAGGGAAGAAGAAAGUGAAGGUAUCUUAGGAAUAAGCCUCGGAUAACUACGUGACAGCAGCCGCGGUAAUACGUUGGAGGCGAGCGUUAUCCGGAAUGACUGGGCGUAAAGGGUGCGUAGGUGGUUUGGCAAGUUAGUUGGGUAACUCCAAGGCUCAACCGUGGAACUACUACUAAAACUGUUGGACUUGAGUGCGGGAGGGGCAACCGGAAUUCCUGGUGUAGCGGUGGAAUGCGUAGAUAUUAGGAAGAACACCAGUGGCGAAGGCGUGUUGCUAGACUGUAACUGACACUGAGGCACGAAAGCGUGGGGAGCAAACAGGAUUAGAUACCCUUGUAGUC